ACCCUUCGCCCGGGCCGUGCGUAUGUCCUCCUCAAGCCGGAUUUCAUCUUGCUCGUCCUCCUCGAUCGAUUUGCCCGUUCAGAAUCGCGUUUGGAUUUGAUUUUGCCCGUCCUUGCCGUCGCCGGUUUAGAUAGCUACAAUCCCGCCUGAUUUGAUUUUGAUCGUUCUCGUCGUCCGUUUAGAAUCGCGCCUGAUUUGAUUUUGCUCGUUCUCACCGUCGUCCGUUUAGAACCGCGUCCGAUUUGAUUUUGCUCACGCUCAGUUCGUCAGCUUAGAACCGCACCUGAGUUGAUUUUGUGCGUCCCCGCCGUCGUCAGUUUAGAGUCGCUCGCUUCUGAUUUGAUUCUGUUCGUCCUCGCCGUCGCCCGUUUUUGCUCGUCCUAGCCGUUGCCCCGACGCGCCCGCAUGUUCUUGGUCCUGUCUCGUCGAGGGUCUCUCGUCUGGUUUGCAAUUGAGAAAUCUUUGCGUGCUCUUCUAUUAUCUGAGAGACGCUCUGGAUCCUGCGUUUCUUCGUGUUCGUGUCAGCGCGAGCGUUACAGUAACGGUCGGGUCUUGGUUUUGAAAUUGGGUUCCGGCCAGAGAUGGAGAGGCGGAGAGCAGUUGUCAGUUUGUCGCGCUAGUUCAAAUUGGUUCCUAGGCUCCUGCGGUUGUUCGUCGGUCGUUUUCAGAUCUCAAACGGCUAGCUUGUUCGUGUUCGUCCGUCGAGAAAUGUGCCCUUUGAUGCUCUGGUUCCUCUGUCGAUUCUGAUUGUACCGGCUAGCUUGUUCCACUUUCGUCAGGCUAGAUGCAGGGGUGAUUUUGUUCUGACGGGUGUUACUGCUUCUGUUCUUUUCAAUUGGUUGGUUACUUCCUAGAGUAUCAUGCUUUGCUUAUGUUCCCAUAUAUGGUGAUGUGUGUUCAGCGGUGCAAACCAUUAACCAUGUAGGCCGUGGGUGCCAUUUCGAGCAGGCAGAGUAGAAAUUUCUAAGAGAGUGCAAAUCAUGUGGCUUGCUGAUUGACUAACUGAACACCUGCUGCUGCUACUGUUUGACAAGGUUUCCUGCUUUUCUUCCUUGUGUUGCUAUUUACAUUUCCAUAUAGGAGUACUAGAGACUUUGUUCUAGAUUGCAUAGCAUAACUCUAUAAUUUUGUCAUUGCACACUUGGACAUAUGAUUCUGCUAUGAGCAUAACUCCAGAGUUUAUUUAUCUGUGAAAGAACGUUCAUCACAUGUUGUUUAUCAAUGCUGCUCACUUUAGUCACGUCCCUUUUGUUUCUCCUGUUAAAUUUUAUGGAGCAAAUUUUGUACUCACUUGUUAAAAUAUCAAGAAUGGUGACUUCUGUGUUUGUCGCUAUGUAAGCCAUGCACUUGGGAAGCCUGGGCAUGAUUAGGAUUAGGAUUGCAUAUAGAUUUUAUUCUAUGUUUGUUUAUAACCUGGUUGUGACCUAACAUAGUGUAAAUCUGCUAAUUUUUAAAUUUAAUUUAUGUUCAACGCAAGUAGGUUUUGUUAGUAAGUGGUAUUUCUGAUAUCAAUUACUAUUGUCCAGUCACUGAAAUACUGCUUUUCUUGCUUUGCCUAGACUUUGUGACAAGAAUAAGCAUGCGUCUCUGUGCCUACAAACUUGUGGGUAGUGAUGAUGAUCUAACUAGCUUCCUGUUUUCAGGAAUGAAGAUCUGAAUUACCCUCACCCCUCUACAGAAAUCAGUUUACCUCAUUCGGUUUCUGGAACUUCUAUAUAGCUUUCUGAGUUUACUUCGGUCUUGCAUGUAUUAGCUUUCUGUUUGUACCACUAUCUAUGUCUGUUUCUUUUUGUGUUUCUUGUGUGCAAGUGCUCCAUUGUGUGUGUCUUGACUAUGUGUCUGACUGUGUGUGUGUGUGUGAUGUGCCACUAUCUAUGUACGUUUCUUUGUCUGUUUCAUGUGUGUAAGUGCUCCAUUAUCUGUGUGUGAGUGUGUGACUGUGUUUGAAUGCUUGGAUGGGGUGAUUCUGAUUGUGUUACUGCUUAUAUGGUCUGUCCAAUUGGUUUCUUAUUCAUGCUUUGCUUGUAUUCCAAUGUCGUCUCCCCAUAUAUGGGGAUAUGUUCAGGGAUGCAAACCAUUUAGGCUGUUUCGAGCAGGCAGGGAUCUAGAUACGUGCACUGGUCAGGCUUCUCUCCUGCUGAUAGAUGAUGAUGGGCUGAGCAGAAAAGUUUGACUCUUGUAGGAUAUAGACAAAUGUCACAUUUGCUCUUCCUUGUGUUGCUAAGGACACUAGUGGGUAGGGUUUGCUUACCGCGCAGGACCGAUAAUUCUGAUAGUAGCUGAUAGUAUGCCAAGGACUGCUCAGGGUUCCUAUCACUUUCUGUUUUACCAGCUAAGGUAAUCGAAUUUUGAUCUUCAGCUUGCAAAUUUAUCACCUUAUGGGAGGGAAAGGUUUGCAUGUACAUGAGCUUUUAUUAUCUACAUAUAUACUUGAAUUGCUUUGGAUUUGUUGGACGACUAUUCUACAUGAUGUUCUCCAUGAUUCACUUGAUCUGUUAAUUUGAGUAUUUUCCUGGUGAGUUCUUUAGGUUCAUCUUGUGACACGAAAUACAAUUUGCUCUCUGUCUCUCUUACACUUUUCUUUGUUUAUAUAACAGUAGUGGCCUCCUGGCUUGUAGUUGGGUAAUGCAGAGAGAGGUUUGGAAUUGAAGAACUAAAAUAAUGCAGAGUUGAAGGUUCUGAGCGGGAAGCUUGAACAAAUAGUUUACUUUUUCUCAUGUCUUUGAUUAGUUUCAUCCUAUCUAUGUCUGUUUCUUGUUUGCAAGUACUCCAUUGUGUCCGUGUGAUUGUUUGUGUGUGUGACUGAUUGUGUGUUUCUUUGUCUGUUUCUUGUGUGCAAGCGCUCCAUUGUGUGUGCGCGUGUGUGUUGACUGUGACUGUGUGUCAUUUAAUGACUGUGACUGUGUAUUGAUUGUGAUUGUGUGUGUGCUGACUGUGUGUCAUUUUAUGACUAUGACUGUGUAUGUGACUAUGUGAGUGUGUUGACUAUGACCGUGUCAUUGUGCAAGCGCUCCAUAACUACCUAUGCAUGGAAAUUUCUAUAAGGUCAUGGGCAUGUAAUUUAAUGACCUACAUACCUCUGUAGUUGGUAGUGUCAUUGCCCUUUGGACGCUCUUCAAUGCAUUGCUGUAUAUUUUCCUGCCACAAGUAUGAUGUUUGUGCUCAGAAUGAUGUAUAUGUAGAAUCCAGGGUGGAUGGAGGCUUUCAUGAUGGCUAAUUUGAUUUGUAAUGGUUCUGAUGGUGUGCUUCUUGUGUUUGAACUAAAGCCGUGGAUCACUCAUCAACCUGCUGAAUUAUUUCCGGAUAGGACAGAGGUGCAAUGUUUACAUACUUGGCAGAAGGUUCUUUAACACUGAACUCGUCAAAGGUCCUUGGACUCAAGAGGAAGAUGACAAAAUUAUUGACCUUGUAAACAAGUAUGGACUAACAAAAUGGUCGCAUUGCAAGGUCAGCUACCAGAACUUCCUACUGCUGAUCCUGGAAUGUUUCCGAACAUGCUCCCGAACAUGUUCAAUUUAUCAGCCCUAGGACAGCCACUGCCAUGACAUCGCAGGCUACUCGGCAUGCUCGGCGUGUUUAGGUCGGCGGACUUCCUCCGAUCGCUAAUAAACAGACGGUUGCUCUAUUCUUCAAUCAAGUUAUGGCUGCUAUCGGGGGAAACACAGUUGGUCUGGGUGAUGUAGUUCUUAAUACGAAGCUGAUUUUUGAAUUCAUUCAAAACAUCUUAGGUGGCAUAAUCAUCUGAAUCCAACCAUAUGGAAUGAUGCUUGGACUACUGAGGAGGAACAUGCACUGAUUAAUGCCAUCAGGUAUAUGAGAAUAAAUGAGCAGAUAUAACAAAAGUUCUUCCUGGAAGGUACUGCCAAACAACUUAUAUCAUGGGUGUUGCUUGUAGUUAGCUUUCUGUUUGUGCCCUUUCUAUCUCUGGUGUGUGUGACUGACUGUGCGUGUGACUCUGUCUGUGCGUGUGUGACUGAUUCUGUGUGACUGUUACUUUGUGUGUGUGUGUGUGUGUGUGUGUCUGAAUCUGUGUGUGACUGUGACUCUGUGUGUGACCGACUGUGUGUGUGUGUGUGUGUGUUUGAAUUAAUAUUGCAUUUGCUUGAUGGUGUGUGCUGUAUGCUUUGCUUGAUGGUGUGUCCUGUAUGCUUUGCUUGAUGGUGUGUCCUGAAUGCUUUGCUUGAAUGAUUGUAUGUUUUGUUUGU